CCCACGGGAGGCAGCAGUAGGGAAUUUUCGUCAAUGGGCGCAAGCCUGAACGAGCAAUGCCGCGUGAACGAGGAAGGUCUUCGGAUCGGAAAGUUCUGUUGAAGGGGGAAAAGAGCGGAGCGAGGAAAUGCUUUCUGAUUGAUAUUACCCUUCGAGGAAGUCACGGCUAACUACGUGCCAGCAGCCGCGGUAAUACGUAGGUGGCGAGCGUUAUCCGGAAUGAUUGGGCGUAAAGGGUGCGUAGGCGGCCUGCUAAGUCUGGAGUGAAAGGUCGCGGCUCAACCGGUACAGGCCGUGGAAACUGGCGGGCUAGAGAGCAGGAGAGGGCGGCGGAACUCCAUGUGUAGCGGUAAAAUGCGUAGAUAUAUGGAAGAACACCAGUGGCGAAGGCGGUCGGCUGGGCUGUGACUGACGCUGAGGCACGAAAGCGUGGGGGGCAAAUAGGAUUAGAUACCCUUGUAGUC
rnacentral:rRNA from 1 species